CCUUCAUGUAUGAAGUUUUGUCUGCUUCUCUGAUUGUUUCCUUAGUAUUGAUUCUUUUGGAAAUUAAGGCGUUCAGUUAAAACGUGGCAAAUCCCAGUACCGGGGAAGCUGAGGUGGGAGGAUUAUGAGUUUGAGACAGCCUGGGCCGAGAUAUAAUAAGAAAUAUAAUGAAUAUUUAAGUUAAAUAUUUUCUUUCCAUAGAAGACAUAUUUCCAAGACCCCCCCCCCGCACUCCUCCUCAAACACCUUUAUUCCAUCAUUCUUGCUGCCUUCUGAAGCAGCUCUCACGGUCCUCUUUCACGAGUGUCUUCCGUCGCACGGUUGCGGCUGCCUCAGCAUUCUGAAUUGAUUCAAAACGUCUUCCUUUCGUGAUCAUUUGACUUUGGGGACGAGCCAGAAGUUGCAUGGUGCCAGAUGCAGUUAGUAGGGUGGAUGAAGACACGCCGUGUAUUUUUAUUUGACACAAAUUGCUGUACCAGAAGCGAUAUUGUGGCACAGAGUGCUGUUGCGAUGGAGGACAUUUCUCACGCUUUGACUGUUCUCCUGCAGCUUCCCGUACUGAGGAUUCCUGCCUUUCCGAUGGAGAGCACACAGCAGUAGCAGUCAUCAUAUUGUUUGGUCACCGCCCCCCAUAUAGCAAGUUCAAGGCUGGCCUGGACUGCACAGCAAGACCCCGUCUCCAAAGACAAACAAAACAAAGACAAUUAGAAGGGGUGCUUCACAACACAAAUAUGCAGAUGGGAGGAAAAUCUGUGCAGCGUUAUGGCUCAUUCCUCAAGGCACAGCAAAACCUCGCUACCCAUCAAACGGCCCCAGACAGAAGUAGCAGAGAGCAGUAUGCUCUGACCAUCACGAGGUCUGGUGAGUCUGACUAGGAGAAUGAUC
rnacentral:lncRNA from 1 species